AAAAAUAUGUAAUGUUGUGAACUCUGGCCGCAGCGGCGCAAGAAAAAGGAGAAUUACGGGAAGCACUCACAACAGCUUUCAGCAGAAUUUCCUCACCAAUGUGGUAGUAGUGCAAUCUCAAGAUGAUGGGCCGAGGAAGAUGACUUUGUUUGGGACGCUGGCGAUUCACUCUAUGUGCUCGAUCGAUGAGUGGCUUCUCCUCGAGAGAUAGGGCCUCCGCCAACAGGUGUGAACCAACUCAGUCAUCUUGGGUCCCUCUGUGCCUUCUGGUAUUCCUGCAGUUCUUAAAUUAUUCCUCCUGGAGUGCCUCAAGAGCUCCACAUCUCUCAUCUAACUUCUUUACCUCCGCAGACAAACGCUCCACAGUGGCCUGGAGAGUGGCGAUGGUGUCAGAGUGGUUCGAGGCACAGUCCUGCAGUUCAGUCAAAGUGUUAUCAUGCCUGGCCACAUCGCUUUUUAUGUCCGAAAUUGAGGGCUGGAUGCUCUGGUUCAAGGAUGAUAUCUCGCCUCCUAUGGUGGUAGAAAUCUCUAAUAUGCAAGUGUCCAGUGCUAGUUAGUUAGUUCUAGUUCUAGUGGUUAGUGGGGCUUUAUUUGAUGAUUCUAGUGUGUGUUACAUUGUUGUCAUAUUGUUGAGUCGCAGAGCUGCACAGUGUUACAGUUUCUGUAGAGUCUGGUAUAAGGAACUCAGAUCCCUCUGUGAAUAAUGUUCACUGAAACUGAUCUGUAGUUAAUGAACUAGUCAGGAUUUACACUAGAGAAUGUUUCUGCCAUUACAUGGCCUGUAUUUGUAGAGCGCUUUACUCGUCCCUAAGGACCCCAAAGUGCUUUACACAUCCAGUCAUCCACCCAUUCACACACUGGUGAUGGCAAGCUUGUAGCCACAGCCACCCUGGGGCGCACCGACAGAGGCGAGGCUGCCGGACACUGGUGCCACCGGGCCCUCUGACCACCACCAGUAGGCAACGGGUGAAGUGUCUCAUUCAAGGACACAACGACCGAGACUGUCCAAGCCGGGGCUCGAACCGGCAACCUUCCGAUUACAAGACGAGCUGCCAACUCUUGAGCCACGAUCGCCCCACAUAUUGUUGUCUUUUGUUGCAGACACCAAGUGUUGAGAUCCUGUCUCAACCUCCUACAUUCUUCCAGCAGGUUACACAUUAUUUUUUGUAUUUGGAAUCAAAUAUAUGUGUCAGUUGGGCCUAGUGCAGGGGUCAGCAACCUUUAACACCCAAAGAGCCUUUUGGACCCGGUUUCCACGCAAAGGGUCAGGGUUCGGGAAAACACUGGGAGCCGCAAAUACUUUGUGACAUCUAAAAUGAAGAUAACACUGUGUAUAUUGUUUUUACCUUUAUGCUUUGUGUGAACAACUACAGUGUGUUGCUUAUGAAAUCCAUCAAGUGCUACAGAGAAAAUUACAUUUGAUUUAUGUAAUGAACACAUUUUGAGCUCUUAAAGAAAUAUAACAAAGGAAAGCUGAACUACAAUGAUCCAUGUAGCAAACACAAACUGUUAUAUCGCCUUUGGGCUUUUGGAGCCUUGACCUGACUUUUAAAAAAAGCGCGUUCAUGCAAACAUCGUCGGGUCUGCCGUGAUAUGUUUACAACGGGACUUCUGCUCCUGAACCUCUGCGCACAGCGUCUGCAGGUAAGGUAACUUUAUUUAUACCCAAAGGCAAGGUAAAUUUGCUUUACAGAAAAAUGACAGCAUUUGACAUCCCUUUAAAAACACACAUACCUAGUAAAUAUAUAAAGCUCACUGUGACACAUACUUUAAUAUUUCGAAUCAAAAACAGUUCUUAUUUAAUUCAGUGACAGCAACGGGGACAAAGCUAUUUUUAUAACGCUUUAUCCUACAUCUCGGAAAUAGAAACCUCCGUCCUGAGGGAAGAAGCUGAAAUUCACCCCUUAGAGGAUGGGAACCAGGGGCGGAGCGUGGGGGUGGCUUACUGGGCUUAAGCCCGGGUUGUUUUGUCAGAAGCCCGGGGUCUUUUGGAGUGUAAUUUUUUCAUAGUUAGAUGCCUGGCUGACAACUGUAUAAAACAAAAAGUACACACAAUAUUCGAAGCACAUAGUGCACACUGUGGGGAUUUACGACUGUGCGUGAAUCCCCCCCUGAUAUUGGUAUGAUCCGAGCUCAGGCACUAAGCGACUGAGCGAGGGGGCGGGGCAGCUGCUUCCUGUGAGUGCGCUGUUAGAGAAACGGAGUCAGCCAUACUAAGGAGAGCUUAAGUUUGAGCAGGUACCAAAGCAAAUCAUUCGUACCGUACAAAUAAUGUAAAUAUGACGGUGCAUCACGAAAGAUUGAUAUCAAACUGAUCACUUGACCAAUAUUACGUUACUUGCUCUUCAAGUGAAUCAACAAAUGGCGAAAUGAAAAGCCGAACAAAUGCUAUUUUUUAGAGAGUCUUAGCUUACGUGUGUUUAUUUCAUAUUUUCAGUUGUUACCCUCCCCGACUAAAUCGGUUUCAGUUAUGCACUGAAAUAUAAGAAUGGACAUUAGAGGCUUCUUUCAAAGAAAAAACUCAGAUAUGUUCAGCUGGAGAUAAGACUCCUCCCACCACUGAACAAAGUCAUCAAUGACUGGGCCGUGAGAGUGAAUAAUAAGGGCGAUAGGACGCACCCUCGAGGAGAACCUGUGGAGGAGAACACUGGGUCAGACAGAACCCCAUUUAUUCUCACUCUGUGUGACCUGUCAGUUAGAAAAUCUAAAAUCCAGCCCACCAGGUUUUUCCUGAUUUCAAACUGUUCUAAAAGUCUCUUAAUUAAAAUAUGGGGCUGUAUUGUAUUAAAAGCCGAAGAAAAAUCAAUGAAAAGAAGUCUUGCAAAAGUCCCUUUACUCUCUACAUGUUUAAGAAUCAGAUUUAGUAAAGUCAAAAGUGCGUCCUCCACUCCUCUGUUGGGCCUGUAUGCAAACUGCAUUGGAUCCAGCUGACCUUCAGUCUCUUCAUAAUCACAUUUCUGAGGAUUUUUUCAAAGACUUUCAUGACAACUGAAGUGAGGCAACAGGCCUGAAGUCGUUUAGAUUUAGGGACAGGAACCACGACUGCUUCUUUGCAAAGAGAGGGCACAUGUUGUGUUUGCAAGGAUUUGUUAAAAAUAACCUGAAAUAUAGGACUGAGUUCAUCAGCACAAGAUUUAAUUAGGCGGCCACUAAUAUUAUCAGGACCUGGCUCUUGUUCACAUUGACUGUAUGAAAGGCCUUUUUAACAUCGCUGAGUUCAAUGAUAAAGUGCUGAGUAUCUCUCAGUUUCUGUUUCACUUCCCAAAUAUCCUCGCUGAAAUCAGAAGAACUAAAACGAGCAUAAAACAUGUUUAAAGCGUUUGCAAAUUGUUUGAUUUUUUCUCUCUUCCCCCCCUUCUCACCGUCUCUUCUCCCCUUUGGUUUUCUUUCUUUCUCUCCCUCUCUUUCUUUCAUUCUUUCCCCCUGUCCUAUCCCCCAGUCAUGUCUGUCCCGUUUGCAACUGAAAAUAAAAUAAAUUCAUAAUUAUAAAUAAAGGUCAAUCAAAUGGACCAAUAUGGCAAGGCCAUGAUGAUUCACUUGGUAAAAUAAAUCCGCUUGGCAUCUUUCUUGGCCUCAAGACAACAAUUCUGAUGGCUAUAGAUCCAAAUGGGACAAAAAAAAACAAAAAACAAAAAACACUGAAGUGAUGCUAACGGCUGUCGUUAGGCUCACUGACAGCAGUGCUGAUGUGUUCAUGUCAAACACUGGCUCAGGUCAGACUCCUUCAUCCUUCUCCAGCGUGAGGCCGCCCUCAGAUCCACGGGAGCUCUGACCUUUGACCUCCUGACCCUAAUCAUUUUAGUCUCUUUGCGUCUUUAAAUGCAAAUCCAUCCAAACUGUAGCCGAGCAAAAGAAGCUGGAAGCUGUUCUAAGAAUGAUGUUCAUACCAGAGUUUGUGUUUCCAGCUCAGACGUGUUAAACGCUGCUGCUACAUUUGUCAUUUCCUGCUUUCACUUCCAUCCAUGUCAAAAUGCUGAACUCAUCUUAUCUCUUUAAUGCAGUAAAACAGGAGCUGUAAGUCUGACAUUUAUUUACUGUCAUCACAAACACACACAGCUGGAUUAGCACCCAACUUUGAUUAAACAUUUAUUUAGCAUUGAGAUGUCAAUCUUGACCAUAAGUCAUCCCCUGCUCCUGGUCUCCCGAGGCAGAUGGGUCCAGGGUGGC
ensembl:lncRNA